AUUGAACGCUGGCGGAAUGCUUUACACAUGCAAGUCGAACGGCAGCACGGGGGCAACCCUGGUGGCGAGUGGCGAACGGGUGAGUAAUACAUCGGAACGUGCCCAGUCGUGGGGGAUAACGCAGCGAAAGCUGUGCUAAUACCGCAUACGAUCUACGGAUGAAAGCGGGGGAUCGCAAGACCUCGCGCGAUUGGAGCGGCCGAUGGCAGAUUAGGUAGUUGGUGGGGUAAAGGCCUACCAAGCCAGCGAUCUGUAGCUGGUCUGAGAGGACGACCAGCCAAACUGGGACUGAGGCACGGCCCAGACUCCUACGGGAGGCAGCAGUGGGGAAUUUUGGACAAUGGGCGCAAGCCUGAUCCAGCCAUUCCGCGUGCAGGAUGAAGGCCUUCGGGUUGUAAACUGCUUUUGUACGGAACGAAAAGGCUCUCUCUAAUACAGGGGGCUCAUGACGGUACCGUAAGAAUAAGCACCGGCUAACUACGUGCCAGCAGCCGCGGUAA
rnacentral:rRNA from 1 species